CACUUAUACUCUUCUCGCACUUAUCUUCUCCCGCCAGCUGCACCCAACAUGUAAACACACGUAUUAGAAAGAAGAAGAAGCAGGAGCACGAAACAUCAAAUACACUAGAAACAACAUUAAAGACAAUACCUCAACAUGUCGAUAACAAGGAGAGUUCAGCAAUGGGCAACAUUUGGCAGGAUGUGGUACUUGUAUGAUGCAAAGUGGCAGAAUCCCUUUGAUUCGGCAAACAAGAUAAUACAUUAUCUCUCGGGCUCUAAUAAACCAAUAUACCAUCCCUUAAGUGAUUGUGGAGACCAUGUUGUUGUAAUAAAUUCACAAGAGAUAGCCCUUCCAGGAAUGGAAUGGGAAAAACGUGUAUAUUUUCACCACACUGGUUAUGCUCGGGGUGCUUCAUGGACAUUAGCAUGGGAACUACACAAACGUGAUCCAACUAUGAUUGUCAGAAAAGCUGUAUACAACAAACUGGACAAGAACCUGCUUAGAAGAGGACGGAUGGCCAGACUUCAUAUAUUUCCUGAUGACAAGAUACCCGAUAACAUCUUGGAAAAUGUAUCGGCUCACCUUCGCCAGCUGCGAGAUGUUCCUACACGGCUUGACCAUUACCCAGAGGACUACGUUACUAACUUCCCCAAAGUAUUUGAUUGGCCUACAGAACAUGUUAUUCAGUAGUUGUGACAUAAUAGCAAUCAGUCUCUCAUAAUAGCAAACAUAGUCAAGAGGAAAAAGUGUUGUUAACCAAGUAAGACAGCAUUGUGUUCUACACCAACACUCCAUAACAUAUAUCCAAAUCUAAGGCUAAUAAAGAUUGUCAGACAUUAACCACAAAACUGUUCUCAAAAUUGGGUGCCGAUGUCAUGUUAGACCCAUCCACUGGUCUUUACUGGGUAGGUAUUGCCAUCAACCUAUAUUACAGUAUUUGUUAACAAGCUACACUGCCGUCAAUGUCAUUUGCAACAUGAAUUAUGGUACAUUAUAAUCUUCUAAAGGCAUUUUAAUUCUGGCAUCUAUACUAUCUUCUGGAGCCAUCUAUAUUUGUGUUAAAUUUAUUGAUAUAAAGUACUGUACAGUAUAAUGGUGUAUAAGGUGACAAGUGAAUUUAUCAAAAAGAGGCAGUUUGACUACGUACUUGUAAAUAUUUAUAAUAAAAUCAUUGCCUUGAAAAAA
rnacentral:misc_RNA from 1 species